GCCAGAAUCCAAUUUCAGAAACCACAAAAUCAACAUAAACGUGUGCAAAAAUAAAAAGGUUUGUUUGGCAAGUAAUAAGGAGAAGGCUACCAAUGUAUAAAACACAUGAACCAAGGUGACCUCAGCCAACUGAAGCUAUAAUGACGAUGAUGUCCACAGCAGAUUUGGCACCUCUGAAACGAGCGGUAACAAGACACAGUCCACGCCGCUUUCUGUUAUCAGAACAGAGCUGUUGGAUUUUCUGCAUAUCCUGAAUCAGACGCCUCCCAUUCAUCUCUGGUCCAUAACCAGGCUCUUCUGCCUUCACUGCCUUUGCCGUCUAACUCUGGAGCACAAAUGAGAUGAUUCCACCAAGCUUCUCAAAAUCUUAUGUGGAAUCAAAUGAAAAGUAUCAAAGUCUCCAGCUGGAUCCUUAGCAUCUAUGGUAUCUCAUUUUCUCCACGGAAACAAGGAAGGGCUCCCCAUUCAUGGAGAAAUACCAGUUUCAUUUUAAGCAUGACUACUGAUGUCCAUGGCAAGUCUGCUGACUGAAAAGAAAGUGUUUAUUGAUUCAACCUUUCCAUAACCCUUUACUAAAGUAAACAUGUCUGAGACAACUAAGCAAAACAUCAAAUUUCACUCAACUACCAUGUGGCCUUCUUUACUUAAAAAACUUGGCAUGGGCCACUACUCCAGCCAGGGUCCCAGGAGCACAGAGGACCUGCCUUUUAAAUGGUACAAUAAUAUCCACCACCACCGAUUUUCACUCCCAUCACUAUGGGCACCCAUCUCUACUGCCUUCCCAAUAUCUUUGGUUAAUUACUGGUGCCUAAAAUGUUAGUAAUGUCCUCAUUAUAAUACAGGUUAAUAUGGGGCAUUUUCAUCUCAUUUUAAGUUGAUAUAAACAUCUUUUCUUGGAAGAUGAGAGAACAAGUCUGCACAGUUUCAACACUUUUGAAAAAUCUUACCUUGUUGAUAAUUGUGCAGUCUUGCAUUUAUUAUUACUUCCAGAUUUGAUCCAAAAUAAGAAUCUUAGGGUGGCAAUGCCAUAAUCCCUAACUGCGCAUCAUCUUCUUCUAUACUGAAACCUGGAUUUUACCCAACAUGGAGAAAUUAAUAAAAUACCCUCACAUUCUGUGAUAUAACUUUCAUAAUAUAUCCAUCAUCACCGGAGGGAGAAAAUGGUUAAAGACAUGUGUAUACAAGAGAUACAAUUCUGCAUAUAUUUAUAUUUAUACUUAUUUAUUCAUUCAACAAAUAUUUAUUGGCCAUCUACUAUGUACGAAGCACCAUACUAGGCACUAAAAACAAUGAUACAGAAUACACAUUUUCUUUGGGAACUUUUCCAAGGGAUAUGAAAAAGUAUGGAUAACAUACCCAGGCUAGUGAAAUAUAAGAAAUGUUUUAGUCAAUUUUAUUGUUUUGCCUAGUACCCCAUUCAGGAAGUUUUCUCCCAAAGGUCCAGCUCAUUGGAAAGUAAAUAAUGGUAUCUUGCCCCCUCAUCAACCCAUCAGUGUCAAGUUGAGUAAUAAAUAUUGACCAUUCAACCCAAGAUGGUCUAAGUUAAAUAUCAAACUGCCAAAAAUGGUAGUUAAGAAUAUAUAUUCUGAAAUAUGUCUGCCUAGGUUAGAAUUCAGGUUCUUCCUCUCGUUAUGUGCAUUAUGUGACUUAAUUAUUGAAUAAUUAAGUUAUUCAAUUUCUCUAUGCCUCAAUGUUGUCAUCUGUGAAUUUACGUGAUAAUAGAACUAGUGGUUUAUUGUUGGGAUUAAUGAGAGAAUACAUUUUAAGUUUAGAAAAAGGGAAUGGGCCAUACUAAAAAAAAAAAAACAUUAAUUAUUGCUAUUACAGUUGAGUCCUGUUGGCACAAGAACUGGGAAGAUAUAAAGGAGCUAAAGUGAUAUUCUUUCUCCUCCAUCUACGAGAAUAGAGAAAAGUGAUGGAGGGGGUAAUCAGAAAAAGAGAGAGAGAGACAGACAGACAGAAACAUACACACAGACACACACACACACACACACACACACACACACACACACACACACACAGAGUUAGAGAGAGUCAGUAAUCACAGAGAUAGAGAUGAAGAGAAGAGUUUCUAUCAGUAUGUCAAUUAGAGUCCAAGAAGGAAACAGAUGCCACACUCACAUACAGCUAAUUUAAGGAGGGCUUAGUUAGCAGGAUAAGUGGAAGGAGUAGUAGCUGUAAUGAGAAAUGCAAGAUUCUAAUAAUUCAUCAUAUGAAACUGCAUAGGGAUCAGGAAAAUAGGUCUGUGGUUAAGGGAAGUAAUCAACUGACAGGAACCUACAGAAGGGUGCCAAAUAUUGCACUCUCACUCUCCUCGUUAUCACUAAUCUGCCAAGCCUCUCCUUUGGCUGAAUCUAACGAGAACCCAGAAGGCACGAAAGCCAUGUGACGGCAUUCAUAUAGAUUAUGCUCUAGGGGCAGACAGCUGCGAGAAGAGGAGGAAAGAGUAGACCUGGAGGACCAAAGGAAGAUAUCCUGCACGGAGCCCCAACUGGGCAUAGGGAAGGAGCAUCUACCAUUUGGAAGGCUUCUUCCAGUUCUGGUGCUUCCUGUCUUGGGUUAUACGAAAUACCCUUGCAUGUUUCCACAUUUCCUCUUUAGCCUAAGAUAUAAUGAGUGCUUUCUCUUAUUUGUAACAAAGCUAAUUUUGAUUUAAGCAGAAAAGUUCUGGCAACUUCAAAAUAUGAGUAGUAAGUCUCUGGCUGUAAAGUCAGAGGAGGAGGAGGGGCAUCCACACUGUCUUAUUCAGCCAUGGUUCUUUCUGAUGAAGCAAUGCCAGGAGCACACAUACAGCAAUUUUUUUUUUAUUCAACACAAUGGUUAGGCUGUGGUCUCUGUUUAGUUAUAUAAUGUAUUUGGAGAGAAACAUUUCAUGCAUUUUGGAUCAUGUGUUUAUUAUUUUGGAAUAAAGAAACAUCCAAUGCCAUUUGUUCCACUUUAAUCCCUGAACCCCACCAUUGUGGUAAAGACUGCCCCUACUUUUGAAAUCUAGGAUUAAAAUUUGCUGUUGCUAAUUUCUGGGGGAAUAUUUGGACUUCCCA
rnacentral:lncRNA from 10 species